GCCCAUGCUGAGAUUUUUGGGAGCAGGCAAGCUGCUUUUGCCUUUGCCUAAUAUCUGAAACAGGCCAAGCUUCAGCCCUUCAGGCUGGUAACAGACUCCUACUGUACCCCUGACAGGGAGGAUCACCAGAAGAAUAAACUACUCUUCUAAAAGAAUACUUCAAAAGGCUUCUGGCAUUUUGGAAAAGGAUGGGACAGCACUCAAAUUUCAGAGGAAGGUGAGUGUUCUCACUGAGCUCCACUUGGUGUUCAUGAGCCAGAAGAAACUCUGAUGUUCUGUUCAGAGUAAGAGGGAAGAGCCACGAUGCAGCUUCAGCAAGAUGAUUCCUACUAAAGAGAAUCAGCAGGACACUGGGCAGCGUCACAAACACUUGUGUUUCUAAGGAGCAGAGGUAUUUCUCAAAAUAAAUAACAACGGCAGCUCCAGAGGCCUUCUCACAACACAUGUGGGGAGUCCUGUCCAUGUGCAAAAACCUCACACUCCCACCAAGCUCUUCAGAGAGCCAACACUUCAAGGAAG